AUAAUCAUUUGCCUUUUAAUUGAAGGCUGGUAUGAAUGGUUUGACGAGAGUAAAGCUGUCUCACAUAUGCUUAAUAAAAAUUAAUUUAAAGGUGCAAAAGCCUUUAUAUACCAAAAAGACGAGAAGACCCUGUUGAGCUUUAAUUUAAAUUGAGUAUUAAUUAUAUAUUUAUACAAUUUAUUUACUUGAUAAAAAUUUUAAUUGGGGCGAUUAAGGAACACUCAAAAGCUUCCUGACUAUUCUUAUCUAAAAUGUUUCGUAAACUAAACCGAUCCAGCAGUGCUGAUCAACAAAAUGAGUUACCACAGGGAUAACAGCAUAAUUCUUUUUGAGAGCUCAUAUCGAAAAAAGAGAUUGU
rnacentral:rRNA from 1 species